CCAAAGUCCGGCAAAACCGUACCUGCGCUGGAAGUCGGGGGCGUAGGGCUUCAGGUACGGGUCGAUCUCCAGAAGUCGCGCCAGGCCGGGCACGUCCGCCAGGGC